AACCUUGAAAACUGUUUUCAAAGCUCCAGGAAGUUCCUUUCAAGAAUGUGGAGGCUGAUGAAAAACAAUUGCCCACUUGCAUGAAGGCGUGUGGUUGUUGGGGAAGAAUGUUUGAACUGUGAAACCAACUCAGUGUGUUUCUGCCGGAAUGAUGAGGCCCUCAUGUUCUCCAUUGAAUCCUGUGUGGCAAAGUGGGGGAAGACACUGACAGUGCCCGUUUGAAGACCACCUGGUUGAGAGCCGUAGUUGCUUCACAGAUGUCUGGUCCUUAAUGCUUCGGCACAUGAGUGAGUGUGGCUUCUUGACUGGUCU